GAUGAACGCUGGCGGCGUGCCUAAUACAUGCAAGUCGAGCGAAGCGGGGACGGGUAAUUAACACGUUGAUAACCUCCUAUCAGACUGAGAUAACUUCGGGAGACCGGAUCUAAACCGGAUACUUAUAGGUCGAUCCGCGUUGCAUUAGCAAGUUGGGAAGGUAACGGCUUACCAAGGCAACGAUGCAUAGCCGACCUGAGAGGGGGAUCAGCCACACUGGAACUGAGACACGGUCCAGACUCCUACGGGAGGCAGCAGUGGGGAAUCUUCCGCAAUGGGCGAAAGCCUGACGGAGCAACGCCGCGUGAGUGAUGAAGGUCUUCGGAUCGUAAAACUCUGUUAUUAGGGAAGCGGUACCUAAUCAGAAAGCACCGGCUAACUACGUGCCAGCCGCCGCGGUAAUAC
rnacentral:rRNA from 1 species